CUUAUUGAUCCAAAAACUUGAUCAACGGAACAAGUUACCCUAGGGAUAACAGCGCAAUCCUAUUCAAGAGUCCAUAUCGACAAUAGGGUUUACGACCUCGAUGUUGGAUCAGGACACCCCGAUGGUGCAACCGCUAUCAAAGGUUCGUUUGUUCAACGAUUAAAGUCCUACGUGAUCUGAGUUCAGACCGGAGUAAUCCAGGUCGGU
rnacentral:ncRNA from 1 species